UACGUAGGGGGCAAGCGUUGUCCGGAUUUAUUGGGCGUAAAGAGCGUGUAGGCGGCCUGAAAGGUCAGCUGUGAAAACUCGAGGCUCAACCUCGAGACGUCGGUUGAAACCAUCUGGCUAGAGUCCGGAAGAGGAGUGUGGAAUUCCCGGUGUAGCGGUGAAAUGCGCAGAUAUCGGGAAGAACACCCGUGGCGAAGGCGGCACUCUGGGACGGUACUGACGCUGAGACGCGAAGGCGUGGGGAGCGAACAGG
rnacentral:rRNA from 1 species